rfam:Felis catus isolate Cinnamon breed Abyssinian chromosome X, whole genome shotgun sequence.
GCCUGGGUGGCUCAGUCGGUGAAGCGUCCGACUUCGGCUCAGGUCAUGAUCGCACGGUUUGUGGGUUCGAGCCCCACGUCGGGCU